UACGUAGGGUGCGAGCGUUGUCCGGAAUUACUGGGCGUAAAGCGCUCGUAGGCGGUUUGUCGCGUUGUUCGUGAAAACUCACAGCUUAACUGUGGGCGUGCGGGCGAUACGGGCAGACUGGAGUACUGCAGGGGAGACUGGAAUUCCUGGUGUAGCGGUGGAAUGCGCAGAUAUCAGGAGGAACACCGGUGGCGAAGGCGGGUCUCUGGGCAGUAACUGACGCUGAGGAGCGAAAGCGUGGGGAGCGAACAGG
rnacentral:rRNA from 1 species